rnacentral:rRNA from 1 species
UACGUAGGGGGCAAGCGUUGUCCGGAUUCAUUGGGCGUAAAGAGCUCGUAGGCGGCUUGGCAAGUCGGGUGUGAAAACUUCAGGCUCAACCUGGAGCGGCCACUCGAUACUGCCAUGGCUAGAGUCCGGUAGGGGACCACGGAAUUCCUGGUGUAGCGGUGAAAUGCGCAGAUAUCAGGAGGAACACCGGUGGCGAAGGCGGGUCUCUGGGCCGAAACUGACGCUGAGGAGCGAAAGCGUGGGGAGCGAACAGG